GGGCGAUUAGCUCAGCUGGAUAGAGCGCAUGCUUUACACGCAUGAGGUCGCAGGUUCGAGCCCUGCAUCGCCCACCA
rnacentral:tRNA from 3 species